CUCAGGGAAAGGUCCUUCCCAAAUCAGUGGAUGAGGAUGCACCCUCAAGCCAGAGAGUUCAUUUCUCAUUCUGACACUUUGCUUCUAAUGCCUGAUACUGUAAUAGUGUAUUCUCUUGUUUUCCCAAAUUCGCAUAUAGUAAUCAGUCAAGCAAACCGUGGAGCUGAGUCGUAAGGCUGGACUAAGGUCGGAUGAGCAGUGUGUGUCAAGCACUGGGGAGAGUGGCUGAUGAAAGAGCACACAGGAAAAGCUCUUCAACAGAAGAGAUGGACACAUGGAGAGUCAAGGAUGUUUUACACCUGGAAACUCGAGGCCUGAAGAUGAAGUAGCUUGACCAGGGUCACACCGGAAAUGUCAAAGGCAAGAAUCAAAGGAGUUUCGGGAGAUCAUUGAUCAGCUGCAUGGACUUUAAUGUCCUGGAAUUGAAAAUGUGCAAGGCUAGGGGCCAAGACAGGACAUCCAAAAUCAGGUCUUGGUUUAGAGAAACUCAGAACAUAGAAUUCAUUUCCUCAUCGCACUGGAGCAAUUUUUAGUAGAGCUGAAAGCAGGAGGGAUAAGUGAAGAAGACGAGGAAGCGACGACACAUCUGGUAGCUGGAUAUCCUGGAUUUCCCAACCUACCUGCCCCUCUUUCUCUCAUAUGCGUUAUUUUGUCACUGCCAACGGCUGGAUGAUUCUAGAACAAUGUGACAAACUACCCGAACGUGAAUAGGAGGAAAACCAGAACCUUUUGAAGAUUUCUGAGUUGUCUGUGCUGUGUCGCGGUGUCCCUCUCCUGGUAUGACCCUCCGGAACUUCUCAGUGAGAUUUGGAGGUCAAAAGAGCAAGAUACCUCUGGUGCUUUUACCUGAGCACAGCUCCACUGACAUGAGCUGCUUAGGUCCAGCUGAGGAUCAGCCACACCAGGCAGCUGGAUGGCCACAGACAUGGAAACUUAGAAGUGGGACUUUGGAGGAAACAGAAGGUGGUGAUGGCUCCUGCGUACUGCUUUCUUGCCAGGCUCCUUACUUCUACUGCGCAGGACCAACACAGGAAAGGGUUGAAGACCCUGAGCCUGAAGAGCGUGCCUGAGAGAAAAUGAUGUUUUGGUGCAUGAAACAGGGAGAAUAUCUCAAGAGAGAAUAUCUGAAUGGAGAUCCUUUGCACUUCUUUUUCCUGGAUGAACUGCGAAGCUGAGGCUGAGCCUGGCUCUGUCCGUUUGUGUCUCUCUCUACUUCUCUGUCCCGAAACCCCCCUCCCUCUCCCCUUCCACAGCUCCGGAGGGUGGAGGUGCAAUUCGCUAUGCCAGUUUUUUAUUUCCAGCACGCUUGACAAGCUGGGCGAGGAAGGCGUUAAUGUUUUCUGACAGGCCCCCUCUAAUUGUUGGAGCUUUUCUUCUCUGCCUUUUCUGUGAAAUUCUGACUUAGGCGAGCAGCAUAACAAAAUGCUCUGGCAUUGAAAUGUGCGCUUGCACUACACUGGGCUCGGGGAAACAGCAUUAUUCAUGAAGAUUUUCAGCUGUUUUUGUCUUUUAACUAACCUUUGAGUUUGAUCAGAGGCUAGCCGGGCUCCCUUUCUCAAAAGGCGGUCUUGGCAACCCGACAAUGGAGCCAAACUGUUUUCCCUGUUAAAGAGAUAACUAUGCCGUUGAGUUGGUACAUGGGGGAAAUUAAUCUUCUGGCGCAUACAAAUGAUAGGUUUACCUCGGUCUGCAAUCGUCUGCAUGGGAUUAUUAAUAGGACAGGGGUAAGGAGCAGGAAAA